UCCAAUAAUUUCAUUCUACCAAAGUUUAAAGUCUUGGAUCCAUGCUUGACCCAAUAUCCAUCCAUGUUUAUUUUUUGACAAAAAAGUAAGAGUCCGUUGAUUAAUGUCUAAGAAAAAAAAUAGUCCUAUAUAUGAAUAACAACAAAAAUGAGAGUAGGAUAUUUUCGAAAAAGCGUGAUUGAGGGAAAGAAGAAGAAGAAAAAAAAUUAGAAACGAUGAGAAUAUUUGGCAAAGCCGUGUUUCCUGGCCAAAUUAUAGCUUUCGCUUCUGGGAUUCUAUUCUUGGCAUCAACAACAUAUGAUGUACAUAGAUCAAUCAAGAACAACCAAACACCGCCUUCUGAGGAACAGCUUAAGGCUCUUGAAGACUACAUCAAAUCUGUACGUCGCUCACCUUAAUACAUACCCGUGGCUCAUGUUCCGCCACGUCAUUCAUAAUUCCACAACUACGUAGUAUACAUUACAACAACUACUCUUUCUUAAAAUUGAUUAUUUAAUUAGAUGUACUUCUAUUCAGAAAACAAUAUUAGAUGUACCGUGUGAAAAUAAUUUUUCCACUUUUACUUUUCCCCAUCUUUGAGGGGUAUAGUAAACUAUUUAUUUCGGAAUUAAUCGGUCAA